rnacentral:rRNA from 1 species
AGUGAACGCUGGCGGUAGGCCUAACACAUGCAAGUCGAACGGCAGCACAGGAGAGCUUGCUCUCUGGGUGGCGAGUGGCGGACGGGUGAGGAAUACAUCGGAAUCUACUCUGUCGUGGGGGAUAACGUAGGGAAACUUACGCUAAUACCGCAUACGACCUACGGGUGAAAGCAGGGGAUCUUCGGACCUCGCGCGAUUGAAUGAGCCGAUGUCGGAUUAGCUAGUUGGCGGGGUAAAGGCCCACCAAGGCGACGAUCCGUAGCUGGUCUGAGAGGAUGAUCAGCCACACUGGAACUGAGACACGGUCCAGACUCCUACGGGAGGCAGCAGUGGGGAAUAUUGGACAAUGGGCGCAAGCCUGAUCCAGCCAUACCGCGUGGGUGAAGAGGGCCUUCGGGUUGUAAAGCCCUUUUGUUGGGAAAGAAAUCCAGCUGGCUAAUACCCGGUUGGGAUGACGGUACCCAAAGAAUAAGCACAGGCUAACUUCGUGCCAGCCGCCGCGGUAA